rnacentral:lncRNA from 1 species
AGAAAACUAGCUAAACGAGGCUCUAGGAUGUCAACUUCCAAUAACAAUGAGGACGACGGGGCUUCUCCGACGGAUGGUCGUAAUAUAAAAAAAUUUCGACCUAAAUAAAAAAAAAGAAUAGCACUGAAAUUCAUAGUAGAUCUGGAUUCGGUACCGACACAAAUUGUAUCUUAGAAGGAUUUACUCCUGGGGAAUUCUGUCGAACCUAUGGAAGGAACUGGGGGAGACGGUAAGGAAAAUUUUGAUUUUGAAGAAGGAGAUUUCACUAGGACCAUAGUGAAUAGAAUACCCGCGAUCGAUUUUUCCGACCGGGUAUAGGAAUACUUGUUAAAGGGCAUGGAAACCAUUGUUGUGGUUAAACUUUUAAGGUGGAGCAUUGGAUACAUUACUCUUUAGAAUAGGGUUUCAAGUCUAUGGC